rnacentral:rRNA from 1 species
GCUAGCCAGCAAAUGUAUAUAUAUAUAUAUAUUUGAGCCUAGUGAGUACUUAGAUGGGUGACCGCUUGAGAAACCUAGGUGCUGUAAGCG